UGUUGUUGUGUCCUUGGCUCGACUGACCCUAAUGUAAAAAAAAAUUGAAAUUACAAAGAAAAUAUGAAUAUUGAUUUAUAUAUAAAUGCUAAUUACCUCAAUCGUCUCUCGACGUAAGUCUUCCCUUAGUUCCUUUAGUAUAUCCGGCAUCUGUUUUCUAAUGGCCUCUUGAACUGCCCGAUCAAAGUCUUCUUUACUUUUUUGUUGUUGAAUUUCUAUAAAAUUCGUCGUUGUGUUCUGUGAAGUCACCAUAUUAUCAGGAAUUGGUAAUGGCAUUGGAUCACUUGCUCUGGUUCCAAGCACACGACCUUUCUUUUUUCCGUCAGUAGCUUUGACCCAUAAUUCUAAAUUAUCAGGGAGUGUAUGUGAUCCAUUUGAUGAGUCGAUCUCAAAAUUUUCUGCUUCCAUAACAUUUCUUUGAAGCUCAUUAUAGUCAGC
rnacentral:lncRNA from 1 species